rnacentral:snRNA from 1 species
GUUCACUUCAGCAGAAUACAUACUUAAAUUGGAAUCAUACAAUGAAGAUUAACAUGACCCCUGCACAAAGAUGACACACAAAUCUGUGAAACAUUCCAUAUUUUU